GCGUGAGAGGCGGAUACCCGGCGAAUCGGGCGUCUCCGGUAAUCGCUGCUUCGCUAACGGGAAGCAUCGUUUGAGACCCAAGGCUGUGGUGAACAAGGUGACCAUGGAACUCUCUUCUACUUGAGCAUGGUCUUGCCGACUCCUCAUUGAGGGCCUUGUUUCUUGCUUGCUAGGGCGGUGGGCGGCACCGGUUUCCAUUUCCGAUGUGGAAUCUCUCGUUCCUUCUCUGUUUAGUCACAGAGAGUAUCGCGUCGCUUAUAUAUUUCUUCUUAAACUCGACUCAGAGUACUGUUCAUCUGGAUAAAGCUCUGCUCCUGGAGAUACUUCAUGGGGUCAUGCCUCUCUUCUUUCUUUCACUCUGGAGUGACCACAAACCAGGAAAUAUAGCAGAUUGCUCAAGCCCAACAUGGCUCUCAGGUAGUACUAGUAUUCUACCCUGCCAAUGUUAAUGUUAUCAUCCAGAUUGCCAGUGCUCCUUCGUAUGACAAUGAUGAGGAAAGCGCACAAAUUUAUUCCCACCGCUGCUCGCUGCAUAAUCUCCAGGAAUCUACAGUCUUUUCCACCUUGUCUUGUGGCGCCGCAGUGAGAAUGUUCUCUUCCUGAACACAGCCACAAGGUCCUGCACAACACCUGAGAACACGCUGUUCUUGGGCAGCACAAAGAUGAUGGGAGGAGCAUCCGGCCACCGGGAUGCCAAACUGACAAGCCCAGCUGAAGCUUUCUUGUAUUUAGACCAUAAUCGUGAAGGCCGUGACCAUGCUGCAGUGGUGUAGUUGUACCAGCUAAAGAAGCUGCUGUGGCCACACUGCUCCUGCUUUAUGGUGCAGUCAAAUCGGUCGAUGCCGAAGACUUCGCAGGGGUGAACACUGGUGGAGCCGAGACAAAGGAGGCGAGGCAGAGGAAUAGCGCCCACCCACUGAGAAUAGAAUGGAAGAGGCCCGAACACCAAGUGCCUUGUUCCACUUGUCUACACAUCGGAGGACUGCGGCCGUCAGCGUCAGGAUCACCAUUCCCUGCAUGCAUCUAUCACGUUGAUAGAUCUAGAAGGUAUCACUGUACUACAAUAUGUUUCAAAAUACAGUUGCAAUCUUCAAUGUAUAAUUGCAUAAAAUUUAGGUACGAAAAAUAUGUACGAAUUGACCA